rnacentral:lncRNA from 1 species
UUUAGAUUUAUUUUUUAUUUUAUUCACAUUUAAUUCAAUUAAACAUCAAACAAAAAUAUAUGUCCUCCGUUAAACAUAAUAAAAAAAAAUUAACAAACUUAGAUUGGAAGGUCAUCUUGUAAUCUUAUGGAGAACGAGAUGAAGAUUGGGAUAUGAAGGACAGAGCUGGCGAGUGGAAGACAAAAACCCAUAAUGAAGAGGAGCACGGUAAGAGGAAGACAAAUUUAAACAUAAAGCUCUAUCUAAAACUUAUAACUGUCGUCUAUAUAUAUUUG